rnacentral:misc_RNA from 1 species
GUAAUUAUUAUGUUUUUUCAGACGCUGAUUGCAACUGCAAAGGGUUUGUUAUUGUCCAAUCGGUGGGCGAACCCACCGAGGAAACGUAAGUACUCAAAAGACAUGGGUAAGAGAUAGCAGGCAAAGCCCGCAACUCUAGGUAAUGAUCCUUCCGCAGGUUCACCUACGGAAA